rnacentral:rRNA from 1 species
UACGUAGGCAGCGAGCGUUGUUCGGAGUUACUGGGCGUAAAGGGUGUGUAGGCGGUUGCUUAAGUUUGGUGUGAAAUCUCCCGGCUCAACUGGGAGGGUGCGCCGAAUACUGAGUGACUCGAGUGCGGGAGAGGAAAGUGGAAUUCCUGGUGUAGCGGUGAAAUGCGUAGAUAUCAGGAGGAACAUCGGUGGUGUAGACGGCUUUCUGGACCGUAACUGACGCUGAGACACGAAAGCGUGGGUAGCAAACAGG